CGAUGGCAUGGCAGGUGUGGCUGGACAGACUGGCAGGAGCUGCACCAUGAAGGGACUUUCAUGCCAUGUUGGAGAAUCUGGAUUUUAUGGAUGAGGAAGUUGAGACCCAGGGAGGCAUGUGGUUUGCUCAUUAUGGCACAAAGAGCAAAGUCAGAUUCCAAGAGCUCAAGAAAGGGCACAAAAAAAAGGCAGGAAGAUGGUACAAGGGGCCUUCCAGACAGAGGAAGAAGAGAAGGCAAAGAAGAGAUGAAAAUGGCACCCUUCAGAGGCUGAAGCCCAUCUCAGCGUUUCCUUCCACUGUGUGCCUUCAGCCUUCUCAGAUGACCUUGGAGUUUACCUAGACAGGAGUGUCCUCCCUGUAUCCCCACAUGUGGCUGAGCCUCCAGCCUGUCUAUUUGGACUCCUCCUCCUUGAAGCAGAUGCUUCCAUUGCUGGACAGCCCCAGGGGUUGCAGUUUUUCUUGGAGUUAAAAUCUGUUUCCUAUAACUUCUACCUGCUAGUCCUGGUUCUGCCUCCUGGGGCCACACAGAAUGUCUGUUUUUGUUUCUUCUUUCAAUAUUUGAAGAUGGAUAUCAUAUUGCCCCUAAAUCUACUCUUGUAAAGACACAUAUCCUCAGUUUUUAGACUAUUCCUUCUGUGACGUAGUCUCCUAACCUUUUACCUUCUUAGCCACAAACUCUGAAUACUCUCUAGUUUAUCAUUGUUCUUGUUAAAAUAUGAGGUUUAUAAGAGUGCCAUCUGUCAUACUGGGUCCUUUCAGGGAGGCAGAGGGGCAUUGGCAGUAUAGCUAUAAAGAACUUGGGUUUGAAUUUUACCUCUGCCCCUACCGAGCCAUGUGACCUUGGACAAGGCCCUCCUCCUCUCUGGGCUUUGGUUUCCUCAUCUAUAAAGUGAUUGUAAGGUCCCUUCCAGGACUCCUUUGCUGUCCCUUUCAGCACUCCUUUUUAUCCCUUUCCCCAUUCCUCUGUUAGUCCCAGGUCUUCUAUCAUGUUCUCCCCAGGAUCCUAAGGUUGAGGAUCACAAAAUGGGCCAAGAACUGACAUUGCAAGGAAUUCUGACCCAGCUCCGAGACAAUAAUGGGGAAGGCAAAGCUUCAUGCCACGGCCUUUCUCAGCAGCAUGGACCCACAGACACAUGUUUAACUUGGGAACUCCUGGGACACUCAGCACCUUCUCAGGCCCAUAGAGAGCAGGAGCAGAAGCACAACAUCAGAAGGGUCAGAAUGUGUCACCUCAUGAGGGCCAAGAUGGG
rnacentral:lncRNA from 1 species